CGGCGGACGGGUGAGUAAUGCCUAGGAAUCUGCCUGGUAGUGGGGGACAACGUUUCGAAAGGAACGCUAAUACCGCAUACGUCCUACGGGAGAAAGCAGGGGACCUUCGGGCCUUGCGCUAUCAGAUGAGCCUAGGUCGGAUUAGCUAGUUGGUGAGGUAAUGGCUCACCAAGGCGACGAUCCGUAACUUGUCUGAGAGGAUGAUCAGUCACACUGGAACUGAGACACGGUCCAGACUCCUACGGGAGGCAGCAGAC
rnacentral:rRNA from 1 species